rnacentral:rRNA from 1 species
ACAAGCGGUGGAGCAUGUGGUUUAAUUCGAUGCUACGCGAAGAACCUUACCAGGUCUUGACAUCUUCUGCCAACCUAAGAGAUUAGGCGUUCCCUUCGGGGACAGAAUGACAGGUGGUGCAUGGUUGUCGUCAGCUCGUGUCGUGAGAUGUUGGGUUAAGUCCCGCAACGAGCGCAACCCUUAUUGUUAGUUGCCAGCAUUCAGUUGGGCACUCUAGCAAGACUGCCGGUGACAAACCGGAGGAAGGUGGGGAUGACGUCAAAUCAUCAUGCCCCUUAUGACCUGGGCUACACACGUGCUACAAUGGACGGUACAACGAGUCGCGAAACCGCGAGGUCAAGCUAAUCUCUUAAAGCCGUUCUCAGUUCGGAUUGUAGGCUGCAACUCGCCUACAUGAAGUUGGAAUCGCUAGUAAUCGUGGAUCAGCAUGCCACGGUGAAUACGUUCCCGGGCCUUGUACACACCGCCCGUCACACCAUGAGAGUUUGUAACACCCAAAGCCGGUGAGGUAACCUUCGGGGACCACCGUCUAAGGUGGGACAGAUGAUUAGGGUGAAAGUCGUAACAAGGUAACC